GCCCCGGUACUCAGUGGUAGGGCCUAUAUUUGGUAGCGAAAGCGCCUACAAUAACUAGGUCCCAGGUUCGAAUCCUGCCCUGUGGCU